GCUACGAGCCAGGUAGUUCAGUGGUAGAGCAGCUGCUUGGCAUGCGGAAGGCCCCAGGUUCAAUCCACGAUGGCAGCA